rnacentral:lncRNA from 1 species
UGCUGGAGGCCAGUGCUGCAGUCCUGAAGGACGGGGUCACCUGCGAGGCCAGUAACGACCACGGCGCAGCCUCCCAGGUCUUCAAAGUCACCAUCAAACAAGCCGUCGAUCCCAACGCAGCCAAUGAUGCAGGCAGAGGGAACCAUGUGCUUAAAACAGGUCUGUACAAAUACCUCUGUGUGUAUGUGUGUUACACUGUGUGUAUGUGUGUUACACUGUGUGUAUGUGUGUUACACUGUGUGUAUGUGUGUUACACUGUGUGUAUGUGUGUUACACUGUGUGUAUGUGUGUUACACUGUGUGUAUGUGUGUUACACUGUGUGUAUGUGAGUUACACUGUGUGUAUGUGUGUUACACUGUGUGUAUGUGAGUUACACUGUGUGUAUGUGAGUUACACUGUGUGUAUGUGAGUUACACUGUGUGUAUGUGAGUUACACUGUGUGUAUGUGUGUUACACUGUGUGUAUGUGUGUUACAGUGUGUGUAUGUGAGUUACACUGUGUGUAUGUGUGUUACACUGUGUGUAUGUGAUACAGAGAGAGAAAAGGUGUGUUUGUGAAAAUGUGUGUAUGUAGGAGACUGUAGUGUGUAUGUCUGUUUCUGCGUGUGUGUGUGUGUGUGUGCGUGUGUGUGUGUGUGUGUGUAGGCCCCCCUCUUAGCCCCACCACACUAUU